AUGGAUAAUGCUGCCUAUGCAUAUAGUGAACACAAAUUUAACAUUGCAAUGAAUGACCUUAGAGCUGAGUGUGAGCAAGCUUGGGAGUGGCUUUGUCAAAUACCCAAGAAAACAUGGGCAAGGCAUGCAUUUGACACAAACUGCAAGACUGACCUUGUAGUUAACAAUUUAUCUGAGGUGUUCAACAAGUAUGUCCUAGAUGUUAGGAAGAAACCAAUUAGGACAAUGUGUGAUGGAAUAAAGGAUAAGCAGAUGGUGAGGUGGCAUAGGAAUAGGGAGAGUGGAAAGAAAGCUAGAUGGGACAUAACACCCCAUUAUAGUGAGAAGCUAGAGGUUGAGAAGGAGAGGGCCAAAUAUUGCAAACCAAUUCAAGCUGUUGUGGACUUGUGGCAAGUUACAAGUGGGCAGCAAACCCAUGCUGUUAACUUGCAAAUGCACACAUGUGGGUGCAGAAAAUGGGACCUAAGUGGCAUCCCAUGUAACCAUGCCAUCUCAGCAAUAAACAAGGCCAAAAGAAAACCAGAGGAUUAUGUCAGCAAGUUCUUCAAGAAAGAAAUUUAUCUGGCAGCUUAUGAACCAAUGAUCUAUCCAGUUCCUAGUGAGCAUGACUGGACAAGGACCCCUGGUCCAGACAUUGACCCACCUGCAUUUAAAGUGAAGAGAGGAAGAAAGAAAGAGAAGAGGAUCAAGGGGAAAUUUGAAGUCCCAAAGCCUAAGGAGACAUCAAGAAUGGGGACUAUAACAUGUGGCAAUUGUGGACUGCAAGGACAUAGGUACACAAGCUGCAACAAGCAGUUGAAGCCUGAGCUGGCUUUGAGGAAGAACAAACAUGUGCCUCUUGCAAGGAAUUCCAAUGCUGGUGCUGCUGCUACUACACAAGCAUCAACAACUUCUCAUCCAACUCCUACAACAACACCAACAGCUGGAACAGGAGCUGGGAGAGGAGCUAUGAGAGGAGCUGGGAGAGGGGCUGCAGCUGCAGCUGCUGGGACUGGUGCUGCUAGAGGUGCUGGUAGAGGUGCUGGUAGAGGUGCUGCACCAGGUGCUGGGAGAGGUGCUGGGAGAGGGAGAGGUACAUUCUCUGCCCCAAGGCAAUCUGGUCCCUCCACAUCUACUGCUCCCUCUACAUCUACUGCUACUCCACCUUCUGGUGGUAGAAACAGAGGAUGGAGAGCCUACUUCUAUGCAAGUGGUAACCACUAA
rnacentral:rRNA from 1 species